GGAAUGGGAUAUCGAAGGGCCUUCGACUUUCUCCGCCGACUGUGAUACUUCAUUAAACAACUCGCAGUGGCGUUUUCACGCUGCAAUAGAUCUUUCCGCACCACUCAACCCGUCCCAUGUCAGCCGCAUUUGACAAAGCUAAUUUCGCCGAAAGCCAGACCUCUCCGGGCACCCAAGCCCAAACCCAUUCCCCCCAGAUCCACCAUAUACCAUAUGGCACAUCCGAUGUUCCGUAUGCCAUAUUCCAUAUCCACAACCCAGACCUCAGCCAGCCAAACGCCAAACAAACACUUGACGCGACCUAUUCAAUUAUUUCUCAAUUAAAUGUCGUGUAAAGAAGUCAUCAUCGCCGAGUCGGCAUUCGUCAUUGAAUGCAGGGAAAGCCAUCAGCCAGGAAACAG
ensembl:ncRNA lncRNA:CR45569 long non-coding RNA:CR45569